rnacentral:misc_RNA from 1 species
AAAGAAUGCCUCAACCAAUAAAAGGUAUGAAUUUAAUAGCAAGAGGCAUAUAUAGCUGACUUUUAUGUUCUUGAGCAAUUGCUGCAUGUGAAUUAACAUAUAUACAUGCACCAAUCUGGGUAUAAAUGAAAGCCACAGUUUCUUUGGCUUUAUGCACAGUUAACAUGAUAUAUUAAUAAUGAUGUAUAUCUAUCUUUUAUUACUCAAUAAUUUAUGAACUGCUUCUAGAAUCUAGAUAGCUAGUGGAACUGGAGGAAGGCCUUAUAGAGCUUUCAGAUCUCAAUACAGAUUCAUGUUUUGCAAGUGUCAGUAUCUUUCAGUUCUUGUCCCAUUCACCAACAAAAGAAGUAAAAGGAGGAAAACCCCUUCUACGAUAUAUGAAUGCAGUGUUGAGAUAUUAGCUUAUAUAUCUCAACAUCAACUUCAGGCACAAAAUUACUGUUGAUAAAGUGAUGAAAACUAAAAUAAAAAGAUGUACCUAAUAAAUGAUAAAGCAUGAUUCUUUUAGUUGAACUCUAGUUUUUAGUUCAGAAUUUUGGAUUUGAUUAAAAGAGGAAAGGAAAAUAAAUUGCCUUCUUUUUUCUUAUAUAUUUCCCCAUGGAUUGUGCACUUUUGUCAUCUUAUGACUUAUGUGGACAGAAAAGUGUUCCACCAAAGAAAUGCCUGUUUUCUGUGUAAUUGUACGUGUGGAUGGGAAAUAUACAGGUUAGGUUGGUUUUAUUUAUUUAUUUAUUU